UACGUAGGCAGCGAGCGUUGUUCGGAGUUACUGGGCGUAAAGGGUGUGUAGGCGGUUUUCUAAGUUUGGUGUGAAAUCUCCCGCUCAACCGGGAGGGUGCGCCGAAAACUGGGAGACUAGAGUGCGGGAUGGGAGAGUAGAAUUCCUGGUGUAGCGGUGAAAUGCGUAGAUAUCGUAAGGAAGACCAGUGGCGAAGGCGGGUCUCUGGACAGUUCCUGACGCUGAGGCACGAAGGCCAGGGGAGCAAACGGG
rnacentral:rRNA from 1 species